ensembl:lncRNA
AUGGGGCACAUGGGGCACACAGGGCACACAGGGCACUCAGGGCACUCAGGGCACUCAGGGCACUCAGGGCACUCAGGGCACUCAGGGUACACAGAAAACUCAGGGCACACAGAGAACCAAGAGCACACAGAGAACAGAGAGCACAGAGAGCACACAGGGCACACAGAGAGCACACAGAGCACAGAGAGCACUCGGAGCACAGGGAGCACACAGGGCACUCAGAGCACUCAGAGCACUCAGGGCACUCAGGGCACUCAGGGCACUCAGGGCACUCAGGGCACUCAGGGCACUCAGAGCACACAGAGCACACAGAGCACUCAGAGCACAGAGAGCACAGAGAGCACUCAGGGCACUGAGAGCACUGAGAGCACACAGAGAACACGAAACACGGGCACACAGAGCACACAGGGCACACAGGGCACUCAGUGCAUUCAGGGCAUUCAGGGCACUCUGGGCACAAAAGAGAACACAGAUUACUCAGGGCACACAGUGCACUCAGGGCACUCAGGGCACUCAGGGCACACAGGGCACACAGGGCACACAGGGCACACAGGGCACUCAGGUCACACAGGGCACUCAGGGCACUCAGAGCACAAAAGAGAACAAAGAUUACUCAGGGCACUCAGGGCACACAGAGCACAGAGAGCACUCAGGACACUCAGAGCACUCAGGGCACACAGGGCACUCAGGGCAUACAGGGAACACAGGGCACUCAGGGCACACAGAGCACACAGAGCACACAGAGAGCACUCAAAGCACACAGAGCACUCGGCGCACAUGAAGCACUCAGAGCACACAGAGCACACAGAGCACACAGAGCACACAGGGCACAAAAGAGAACACAGAUUACUCAGGGCACUCAGGGCACACAGAGAACAGAGAGCACUCAGGGCACUCAGGGCACACAGAGCACUCAGAGCACUCAGAGCACUCAGGGCACACAGGGAACACAGAGCACUCAGAGCACUCAGGGUACACAGAGCACUCAGGGCACACAGAGCACACAGAGCACUCAGGGCACACAGAGCACACAGAGCAAUCAUAGCACUCAGGUCACACAGGCACUCAGGGCACACAGGGCACUCAAGGCACUCAGGGUACACAGAGCACACAGAGCACACAGAGAGCACAGAGCACACAGAGCACUCAGGGCACACAGAGCACACAGAGAGCACACAUAGCACACAGAGAGCACUCAAAGCACACAGAGCACUCGGCGCACAUGAAGCACACGGAGCACUCGGAGCACAUAGAGCACACAGAGAGCACUCAAAGCACACAGAGCACUCAGAGAACACAGAACACAGAACACAGAGAGCACACAGAGCACUCAGAGCACACAGAGCACACAGAGCAAUCAGAGCACUCAGGUCACACAGGCACUCAGGGCACACAGGGCACUCAAGGCACUCAGGGCACUCAGGGUACACAGAGCACACAGAGCACACAGAGAGCACAGAGCACUCUGAGCACUCAGAACACUCAGGGCACAGAGAGCACAAGGAAAACAUAGAGCACACAGAGCACACAGUGCACACAGAGCACAGAGAGCACAGAGAGCACUCGGAGCACAGGGAGCACACAGCACACUCAGAACACACAGCGCACUCAGAGCACAGAGAGCACUCAGGGCACUGA